rnacentral:rRNA from 1 species
UACGUAGGAUGCAAGCGUUGUCCGGAAUUAUUGGGCGUAAAGAGCGCGCAGGCGGUAUGACAAGUCAGAUGUGAAAGAGGCCGGCUUAACCGGCAAGGGUCAUUUGAAACUGUCAGACUAGAGUGCAGCAGAGGAUAGUGGAAUUCCCGGUGUAGCGGUGAAAUGCGUAGAUAUCAGGAGGAACACCUGUGGCGAAAGCGGCUCACUGGACCAUAACUGACGCUGAUGCACGAAAGCUAGGGGAGCAAACAGG